AAAAUACGAAAAGUAAUAUGAAUUGCAGAAACGAAUCAUCGAAUCUUUGAACGCACCUUGCGCUCCUUGGUAUUCCUUGGAGCAUGCCUGUUUGAGUAUCAUGAAAUCUUCAAAGUAAAUCUUUUGUUAACUCAAUUGGUUUCUACUUUGGUAUUGGAGGUCUUUGCAGCUUCACACCUGCUCCUCUUUGUUCAUUAGCUGGAUCUCAGUGUUAUGCUUGGUUCCACUCGGCGUGAUAAGUUAUCUAUCGCUGAGGACACUGUAAAAGGUGGCCAAGGUAAAUGCAGAUGAACCGCUUCUAAUAGUCCAUUGACUUGGACAAUACUUUUAUGAUCUGAUCUCAAAUCAGGUAGGACUACCCGCUGAACUUAAGC
rnacentral:misc_RNA from 1 species